CGAAGGUGGCAAGCGUUACUCGGAAUUACUAGGCGUAAAGGGCAGGUAGGUGGUUUGGUUAGUCUAUUGUGAAAGCUCCCGGCUUAACUGGGAGAGGCCAAUGGAUACUGCCGAACUUGAGUAUAGGAGAGGUUACUGGAAUUCCCGGUGUAGCGGUGAAAUGCGCAGAGAUCGGGAGGAACACCAAUGGCGAAAGCAGGUAACUGGACUAUUACUGACACUCAGCUGCGAAAGCUAGGGGAGCAAACAGGAUUAGAUACCCUGGUAGUCCUAGCCGUAAACGAUGCACAUUAGACGUGAGGGGUAUCAACCCCCUUCGUGUCGACGCUAACGCAUUAAAUGUGCCGCCUGGGGAGUACGGCCGCAAGGUUG
rnacentral:rRNA from 1 species